UUUCCGUAGGUGAACCUGCGGAAGGAUCAUUACAGAGUAAUGGCCCUCGCGGGUAGCUCUCCCACCCUUGAAUAUUUAUACAUUAUUUGCUUUGUCAGGCCGUGGAAACACCAUUGUCUCCGGCUUAUGCGUGCCUGCCAGAGUAAACAAACUCUGUUCUUAGUUAUGUCUGAGUACUAUAUAAUAGUUAAAACUUUCAACAACGGAUCUCUUGGUUCUG
rnacentral:misc_RNA from 1 species